UACGAAGGGUGCAAGCGUUGCUCGGAAUCAUUGGGCGUAAAGCGCACGUAGGCGGCUUCAAAAGUCGGAUGUGAAAUCCCUCGGCUCAACCGAGGACGUGCAUCCGAAACUGCGGAGCUUGAGUAUGGAAGAGGGUCGCGGAAUUCCCGGUGUAGAGGUGAAAUUCGUAGAUAUCGGGAGGAACACCAGUGGCGAAGGCGGCGACCUGGGCCAAUACUGACGCUGAGGUGCGAAAGCGUGGGGAGCAAACAGG
rnacentral:rRNA from 1 species